AGGGAAACAGCUCAGUGGUAGAGUGCAUGCUUACCAUUCUUGAGGUCCUGGGUUCAAGCCCCAGUACCUCCA
rnacentral:tRNA from 1 species